rnacentral:rRNA from 1 species
AACGAACGCUGGCGGCAUGCCUAACACAUGCAAGUCGAACGAGACCUUCGGGUCUAGUGGCGCACGGGUGCGUAACGCGUGGGAACCUGCCCUUAGGUUCGGAAUAACUCCCCGAAAGGGGUGCUAAUACCGGAUAAUGUCUUCGGACCAAAGAUUUAUCGCCUUUGGAUGGGCCCGCGUUGGAUUAGCUAGUUGGUAGGGUAUAAGCCUACCAAGGCGACGAUCCAUAGCUGGUCUGAGAGGAUGAUCAGCCACACUGGGACUGAGACACGGCCCAGACUCCUACGGGAGGCAGCAGUGGGGAAUAUUGGACAAUGGGCGAAAGCCUGAUCCAGCAAUGCCGCGUGAGUGAUGAAGGCCUUAGGGUUGUAAAGCUCUUUUACCCGGGAUGAUAAUGACAGUACCGGGAGAAUAAGCUCCGGCUAACUCCGUG